GCCAGGCGUGGUGGCGGGCGCCUGUAAUCCUAGCUACUCAGGAGGCUGAGGCAGGAGAAUCGCUUGAAUCCAGGAGGUGGAGGUUGCAGUGAGCCGAGAUCGUGCCAUUGCACUCCAGCCUGGGUGACAGAGCGAGACUCCGUCUCAA
rnacentral:SRP_RNA from 2 species